rnacentral:rRNA from 1 species
UACGUAGGGGGCAAGCGUUGUCCGGAUUUAUUGGGCGUAAAGAGCGUGUAGGCGGCUGGGUAGGUCCGUUGUGAAAACUCGAGGCUCAACCUCGAGACGCCGAUGGAAACCCUCCAGCUAGAGUCCGGAAGAGGAGAGUGGAAUUCCUGGUGUAGCGGUGAAAUGCGCUGAUAUCAGGAAGAACACCCGUGGCUAAGGCGGCUCUCUAGUACGGUACUGACGCUGAGACGCGAAAGCGUGGGGAGCGAACAGG